AUUCGCUCCACCACCCAGGCCUCCUGCUGAGGCACAAACAGGAUCACGGUGUUUCGGGGCAGUCCAGAGGAGGCGCGGCGCGGAACGCGGCCAGAAGCCUGCACCGAGCCCUGAAGGAAGACGAGACAAAAGGGCUCCAGUGCCCCGCGCCGCGCGCGCCAGCAUUUCCCACAGCCUCGGCGACCUCCGGAACCAACGAGAGGUGGGGCAGAGCGGCCUCUCGUGAAGCCUGAACCCGAGCCCUUCCUUCAGCUGGUCCACUCCGCCCGACGUACUUCCGGCGUAUUAGUCCACCCUCCCAUCCCCACUAGUCGGCGUCCGUCAAAUCGUUCCCUGGGAAACGUAGGCUUUGAAGAGAGAGCCCGAGAGUGCAAGUUUGUUCUGGUUCUCAAAAACUACGAAGCUCCUGGGCAUUGUGGUAGAAAUUGAGGCAAUAUUCCGUCCGCAAGUGGUACAGGAACACCGCCCACCAAAUUCUGUACCCACAGCCGUGACUCAGUUUACCCUCCAGCUCGUGUAUAACUGUCCUAAUCUGUCACCAUAACGACAAUGGAUUGGAUUGGCGCUCAGUAGUUGCCCGUGGUUGCCAUAGUGACAUUCUUGGGUAGUCAUGCUGUUGUGCCCAGCUCUCCCACUGGGGACUGACCCCAUUCCCGUUGUCAUGGUAACUAGGAGGCCUAACUUUACCUUAGGACUGGGCGGAGAUUUCUCCCUUCCCUCUUUUCCCAAGGCAUCAACAGCUCUUUUUCAUAUUUUUUUCUGAGCCAGAAACGGUCAGGCAUGAUCCCCUUACAUACAGAGGGAAACAAAGAGCCUCAGCCUUUCAUUUUUGUCUGAAACACAUCAACCUUGCUCAGGUCUCUGACACUCUCUCAAAUACAAGCUUUAAGAGGCCUGUAUCCCCCCUCAUCUCCUUCUUCUCAUUCUCCUCCUCCUCCUUCAUUUUACAUAUACAGACACUGAGGUUCUGAUGGGGCUAAACUACAGAAUCAGUGUAAGAAUCCAGAUUCUCAGAGUUUAGCCUCUGUAGCUUCACUUUACCCACCCAGCCCCCAGCACCUUAUACAAAAAGGACUAAGACUAUGGUCCAAGACUCAGCUCAUCCCAGCCUAAGAUCUCAUGGGUUUGAGCUUGUUGCCAGAAUUCCAGCUCCCUUUAGGCCCCACAUCUCCAUCCUCUUGAACACAAAAAAAAGUAGAGGUUAGUUCAAGUUUCCAAACAAGAAUUUAUUCUUUUUUUUUCCUUAAAAAAUGUACCAGGUACAAUUUUUCCC
ensembl:lincRNA Gm26643 predicted gene, 26643